UAGCGGCGGACGGGUUAGUAACGCGUGGGAAUAUACCCUUCACUACGGAAUAGCCUCGGGAAACUGGGAGUAAUACCGUAUGUGCCCUUCGGGGGAAAGAUUUAUCGCCAAAGGAUUGGCCCGCGUUGGAUUAGGUAGUUGGUGGGGUAAUGGCCUACCAAGUCUACGAUCAGUAGCUGGUUUGAGAGGAUGAUCAGCAACACUGGGACUGAGACACGGCCCAGACUCC
rnacentral:rRNA from 1 species